GAUGAACGCUGGCGGCGUGCCUAAUACAUGCAUGUCGAGCGAAUGGAUUAAGAGCUUGCUCUUAUGAAGUUAGCGGCGGACGGGUGAGUAGCACGUGGGUAACCUGCCCAUAAGACUGGGAUAACUCCGGGAAACCGGGGCUAAUACCGGAUAACAUUUUGAACCGCAUGGUUCGAAAUUGAAAGGCGGCUUCGGCUGUCACUUAUGGAUGGACCCGCGUCGCAUUAGCUAGUUGGUGAGGUAACGGCUCACCAAGGCAACGAUGCGUAGCCGACCUGGGAGGGUGAUCGGCCACACUGUGACUGAGCCACGGCCCAGACUCCUACGGGAGGCAGCAGUAGGGAAUCUUCCGCAAUGGACGAAAGUCUGACGGAGCAACGCCGCGUGAGUGAGGAAGGCUUUCGGGUCGUAAAACUCUGUUGUUAGGGAAGAACAAGUGCUAGUUGAAUAAGCUGGCACCUUGACGGUACCUAACCAGAAAGCCACGGCUAACUACGUGCCAGCAGCCGCGGUAA
rnacentral:rRNA from 1 species